CAAUAGCGUAUAUUUAAGUUGUUGCAGUUAAAAAGCUCGUAGUUGGAUUUCGGAUGGGACUUGCCGGUCCGUCGUUUCGAUGUGCACUGGCCAGUCCUAUCUUGUUGUCGGGGACUAGCUCCUGGGCUUCACUGUCCGGGACUAGGAGCUGACGAGGUUACUUUGAGUAAAUUAGAGUGUUCAAAGCAAGCCUACGCUCUGAAUACAUUAGCAUGGAAUAACACGAUAGGACUCUGGCUUAUCUUGUUGGUCUGUGAGACCAGAGUAAUGAUUAAGAGGGACAGUCGGGGGCAUUCGUAUUUCAUUGUCAGAGGUUAAAUUCUUGGAUUUAUGAAAGACGAACUUCUGCGAAAGCAUUUGUCAAGGAUGUUUUCAUUAA
rnacentral:rRNA from 1 species